UACGUAGGGGGCAAGCGUUGUCCGGAAUCAUUGGGCGUAAAGAGCGUGUAGGCGGUCCGGUCAGUCGGUUGUGAAAGUCAAGGGCUCAACCCUUGAAUGCCGGCCGAUACUGCCGGGCUAGAGUCCGGAAGAGGUGAGUGGAAUUCCCGGUGUAGUGGUGAAAUGCGUAGAUAUCGGGAGGAACACCAGUGGCGAAGGCGACUUCUUGGCCUGUUCUUGACGCUGAGGCGCGAAAGCUGGGGGAGCAAACGGG
rnacentral:rRNA from 1 species